rnacentral:rRNA from 1 species
GAUCUGGCUCAGGAUAAACGCUGGCGGCGCACAUAAGACAUGCAAGUCGAACGGAAGUCGUUGUAAUGAUAUAGACAUGGACGGAGAACUUGUUCAAAGAAAGUGAAAGUUGACUUACAACAAUGGCUUUAGUGGCGGACUGGUGAGUAACACGUAAGCAACCUGCCUAUCAGAGGGGAACAACAGUUAGAAAUGACUGCUAAUACCGCAUAUGCCUAAGUAUCAC